rnacentral:tRNA from 1 species
UCCAUGGUGGCUCAGAUGGUAAAGAAUCUGCCUGUAAUGCAGGAGACCCAGGUUCGAUCCCUGGGUUGGGAA